rnacentral:misc_RNA from 1 species
GAUGAAGAACGUAGCGAAAUGCGAUACGUAAUGUGAAUUGCAGAAUUCAGUGAAUCAUCGAGUCUUUGAACGCACAUUGCGCCCUCUGGUAUUCCGGAGGGCAUGCCUGUCCGAGCGUCAUUGCUGCCCUCAAGCACGGCUUGUGUGUUGGGCCCCGCCCCCCGAUCCCGGGGGGCGGGCCCGAAAGGCAGCGGCGGCACCGCGUCCGGUCCUCGAGCGUAUGGGGCUUUGUCACCCGCUCUGUAGGCCCGGCCGGCGCUUGCCGAUCAACCAAACUUUUUUCCAGGUUGACCUCGGAUCAGGUAGGGAUACCCGCUGAACUUAAGCAUAUCAAUAACGGAGGA